UUUACAAGUAGGAAAACAGCUGUUUGAAAAAGAAUCUAUGACUCUACAGAAUAUUAUUCAAACUAUAGAUUUAAAGGUCAAGAUAUACUGUCUGUAUACGAAACUUGUCAGAAGAUGUCUGAUUGUCCGUUUUGCUGACACGUUAUGCGAACUUUACAAAUAAGAUAUUGACCACUCAAAUUCCAGUGUGCAUGGUACAAAAACUGUAGGUUAGGAAAUCGAGAUUUGAAUUUGAUUGAUGUACUAUGGCUUUUCACCUUUUCAAAUUUCCUCAUGUCCCAGUAGUUAAUGCACUUUGAGUACAGCGAAACUGAGAGCAGGUAGCUGAACAACAAAUGUUAUCUGUUAAUGUUGUCAUUUUUUAGGCUUGCUUCACACACAUUUUGCCCUGCUGACAUUCUUACUGUAGUUGAGCUCCCCAGUGUCGAAAGGAUUGCUUUGUUUGGAAUAGUAUGGGUUUAUGAGACUUAAAACAAUCAUAAUAGAGAUCUGUAAUGGGGAUAGCUUGCACUUUAGUGGCUGCAGAACUAAAGGGAAUGGACUUUAAGAUGGAGCUCAAAAGACAGUUAAAUCUUGUAUUUAAACCAUAUAAUGCAGAAGAUGACCUUUUUCACCUCUUGAGUUUUUUAAGACUUGUGUAGGGCACUGGUGGGGAUUGUUUUAUUUACCUUCUUUGUGACUAUUUAGCAGGUAUCAUCUUAAUUAAAAUAAAUAUAUUGAUUUAAGGAAGUGGAGGAAUAUAGGAAUUGAACCUUAUGACACCCCUAUACCAAAGUGUAUUGACUGGAGAUGACCCUGCCCUGUUUCAGUCAUGUAUCUAUUUGGGGAAAAAAUACUUUCCUGGUUUUGAAUCUGUUCUGUUUAUUUAGAUGUUUUUACUUUUUUUAUGUAACUCUGUGAAGAAAUAUUUUUUUCUUUCAGAAACCAUUGAAAAUAAGCACUGAUGUUUGUACUUAAAAGAAGACGAACCCUGUCUGUUCUUUAAGUACACAGGGGCAGCUGAGUCCUGUGCUGUACCUUUCACAGACCUGGUAUAAAGUCCCUUUAACCCUCUUCUUCAUCUAGACCUGUAGAAAUACCCUAUGCCGUCUUGUUGUUGUCUAGUGUACAGCAGACCGUACAGUAAUUUGAUAAAGUUGCUAUAGCAUUUCAGCAAAGUUUCCUUCUUUUUUAAUUGAAAGUGCUCACUGAUGUUGAGAUUUUUUUUAAGGGUUUUAAAAACCAAUAAACUUUUUUUUAAGUACUUGGA
rnacentral:lncRNA from 1 species